rnacentral:rRNA from 1 species
UACGGGGGGAGCAAGCGUUGUUCGGAUUUACUGGGCGUAAAGCGCGCGUAGGCGGGAGGCCAAGUCCGCUGUGAAAUCGCCCGGCUCAACUGGGCGCGGUCGGUGGAAACUGGUCACCUGGAGGACGGUAGAGGCGAGUGGAAUUCCCGGUGUAGUGGUGAAAUGCGUAGAUAUCAAGAGGAACACCUGCGGCGAAGGCGGGUUGCUGGGCCGACACUGACGCUGAAGCGCGAAAGCGUGGGGAGCGAACAGG